rnacentral:piRNA from 1 species
UGCUUGUUUUCUUAGGGAUAACUCAAGUC